UCCCUGAGACUUUAAGUCUCCUGAAGGAACGUUGAAGACGACGACGUUGAUAGGCCGGGUGUGUAAGCGCAGCGAUGCGUUGAGCUAACCGGUACUAAUGAACCGUGAGGCUUAACCUUACAACGCCGAAG
rnacentral:rRNA from 1 species